rnacentral:lncRNA from 1 species
GUACAGCUGGCCUGCGAGGGGAUAGUGCUCUCAGGUGCCCCUGGAUCUACUCAGCUACAGAAUCCUGAGACAGUCAUUUCACAGACUCGGAGUCUUCCAGGUGGAAGAGACGUGGAGGGCUUCCAGCCAGGGGAGGUGGACAUGUGGCUUGGCAUGACUGCCUCCUGUACCUGAAGAUGUAUCUUCAUUUUGUUUUGGAACAACACAAGAUUAAUCCCACUACCAGGUUCUUAUUAUCUUUUUUCAGUUUAAACAGUCUUCGUGGCUCAUCCUUGAGCAUGGUGUCCAACCCUUGGCUGUCCCUGUCAUUCUUCUCUCAUACUCCAGCUCACCAAGAUUCCUCCUGAAGGGUGGUGUCCCAGGACUGGGGACGGAUGUGGACUGACCUGACCAGCCGGACCUCAUGCUGGGAGCUAUCAUUCCAUGAAUGUGAUCAAAGAUGGGGGUUUGGGUAACCUGACUCACAUACUCCCCUUACUUUUUUUUUUUUUAGAGGUUCUAUUUAUUUAUUCAUGAGAGACAGAGAAAGAGAGAGAGAGAGAGAGAGAGAGAGAGAGAGAGAGAGGCAGAGACACAGGCAGAGGGAGAAGCAGGCUCCAUGCAGGGAACCCGAUGUGGGACGGGAUCUCGGGUCUCCAGGAUCAGGCCUCAGGCCGAAGGCAGCGCUAAACUGCUGAGCACCCCCGGGGCUGCCCGCGCACUCCCCUUUCGUCUCUCCCAGAAUGAAUUCCUCUACCAAAAUGUGGGAAUGACAAGUUCCACCUCCCACUGGAUCAUGGGAACAGUGGGUGUCUCACACUGCUCUACUGCAUCUGCCCAAACUGGCAAAGUGGCUGUCCCCGAAAGUGCCAAGGCUGUCCGGUCUCCCAGCAAACGCCUCGGACUGAUGCGGAGCCAUUUAUAGCAAGAAGUGGUGAGAGGUAACUUAUUCUGCUGUGGAAGGAGCCAGAGCCCAGGGCUCCUCCCAGGGAGAGCUUCACACUCCACAACAGGGUGGGGAGCUACUUUCCCACGCCCCUUCGCUCGCCUGCUGAAGCCGCACGCGAGCGCCAGGCUCCCAGCGCACACUGAGUCAGCACCCUGGAGAGCUGCCCCGCCCCUCCCUGACCAGUGAGGUCAGCACAGAUGCUGCACCCCCCCCCCCCCCAGGAGGAGUGGCAACUGCAGCCACUGGGCAAAGCUCCCAAGAGCUGAGUUAAAGGAACACCCCUGAAGGCUGUGGAAAGCUCCAGAACCCAAGAAGCGCAGGGAACAGGAUUCCAAAGAGCAUGUUUGCCGACAAAAUCUCAUCGUAGGGGACGCCUGGGGGGCUCAGAUUGGGUUUUCUGCGGUUUGAGUGUUGAGCAGUUGAGCGUCUGCCUUCAGCUCGGGGCAUGAUCCCAGGUCCUGGGUUAGAGUUCCAGGCCGGGCCUCCUGCGAGGACACCGCUUCUCCCUCCCUCUGCCUGUGUCUCUGCCUCUCUCUGUGUCUCUCGUGAAUAAAGAAUAAAAUCUUAAAUAAAUAAAUAAACAAACUGACAUUAUUUUUAUUUUUUUUUAAUCUCACCAUGGGCACUCAUAUGGGUGUGGCAUCAUUUGGCGUGUAUUAGCAAAUCGCUUAGCAGACACCAAAUUACAAUCUUCCUAAAGGGCUGCCAUUGCAAGACUUGAGGGAUGCGUCACUUCCUAUGUUCCUCUGGAGCCAUCAUUCCAGAAGCUCCGAUAUUACAUCACUGAGAGCUCCAGACUCAAAGGAAUGGCCAAGGGUAUGAUUGAAGGUGCUUCUGUCUUAAGAUCCAAAUUAGACCAACCCUCAGGAUCCUAUAAGGCUCUCCUCCUAACCGGGCGCUGAGCUCAGAAUAAAUUUUCUGCAUCGCUUGUUUGGGAGAAAAGCACCUGCAUUGCCUGACAGAGCCUCGGAGAGGGGCCCAGCCCAGAGAACAGCUCAUCAGCCCCUAAUCAGGACCCCUCGUCUCUGGCCUCUCUCCAACCCACUAGUUCUCAACAGCAGGGGGGGAAAUGGAUCACUGGGGAGUUAAAAAGCAAAUUUGGGGACCCCACCAGAAUGAUUCUGACCUAGAGUGGAACCAGGAAUCACUUGCCAGCCCUAGGUGAUUCUGCUACACCUGAAGCACUCCACGGUGUGUGAGACUGUGGGCCACUGGCUGCUCAGAUACUGUCAGGGGUCUGGAGACACCACAGAGAGUUCACCACCUGCAGCAAACAUCUGGCCUUCCCCGAAUGACCCACUUGCCCAGCUACCCACUGUCCUUAGCCACACAGGUGACCUCCCACAACCCCUGCCAUCUUCCCAUUUAUUAUCAGAAGGCAAGGGCAUGUGGUUGAAUCCAGCCUCCCUCCUGGAAAAUUGAAAGCAGAUGAACAUGUUUCCGCUGGGCUUAUUUGUGCCCUUUUAGGAAGAGCAAACAAAAGGUAGUCUCCAACACAGAAAUGGCCCACAUUUGCUGGAGUCAGCCUGGGAGAUGGGAGCCUCUGUGUCUGACCCCCGGAGUAGAGAGGACUUUUCUUCUGGAGCAGUGGCAAGUGAACAUUACUGGUGCCCUCAAGUUGCUGUGCCUUAAUCUCUGCUCCCUGUCACAAAGCUGGGGAGGGAUGUUCCUGGCACCCCGGCAUUUCACUGAUCUGUAGGAACUCUGUUAUGAGUGAUGUCUCUUGUAUAGAAAC